rnacentral:rRNA from 1 species
AAUAGAUACCCAGGUAGUCCACGCCCUAAACGAUGUCAACUAGCUGUUGGGGCCUUCGGGCCUUGGUAGCGCAGCUAACGCGUGAAGUUGACCGCCUGGGGAGUACGGUCGCAAGAUUAAAACUCAAAGGAAUUGACGGGGACCCGCACAAGCGGUGGAUGAUGUGGAUUAAUUCGAUGCAACGCGAAAAACCUUACCUACCCUUGACAUGUCUGGAAUCCUGAAGAGAUUUGGGAGUGCUCGCAAGAGAACCGGAACACAGGUGCUGCAUGGCUGUCGUCAGCUCGUGUCGUGAGAUGUUGGGUUAAGUCCCGCAACGAGCGCAACCCUUGUCAUUAGUUGCUACGAAAGGGCACUCUAAUGAGACUGCCGGUGACAAACCGGAGGAAGGUGGGGAUGACGUCAAGUCCUCAUGGCCCUUAUGGGUAGGGCUUCACACGUCAUACAAUGGUCGGGACAGAGGGUCGCCAACCCGCGAGGGGGAGCCAAUCCCAGAAACCCGAUCGUAGUCCGGAUCGCAGUCUGCAACUCGA